rnacentral:rRNA from 1 species
AUUGAACGCUGGCGGCAGGCCUAACACAUGAAAGUCGAACGAGUGGCGGACGGGUGAGUAAUGUCUGGGAAACUGCCUGAUGGAGGGGGAUAACUACUGGAAACGGUAGCUAAUACCGCAUACAAUCGGAUGUGCCCAGAUGGGAUUAGCUAGUAGGUGGGGUAAAGGCUCAUCUAGGCGAAGAUCCCUAGCUGGUCUGAGAGGAUGACCAUCCACGCCGUAACUGUGACACGGUCCAGAUUCCUACGGGACGCAGCAGCGGGGAAUAUUGCACAAGUGUCGCAAGCCUGAUGCAGCCAUGCCGCGUGGAUGAAUAAGGCCUUCGGGUGUUAAAGUACUUGCAGCGGGGAGGCGUUGCCCGCAUAAGCAGCACCGGCUAACUCCGUGCCAGCAGCCGCGGUAAUUC